rnacentral:misc_RNA from 3 species
AACGCACAUUGCGCCCUCUGGUAUUCCGGGGGGCAUGCCUGUUCGAGCGUCAUUACAACCCUCAAGCCCAGCUUGGUAUUGGGUGUCGUCCCCCGGGAUGCACCUGGAAAUUAGCGGCGGUGCGGCCGGUGUUCAAGCGUAGUAACUACUCCCGCUUCGAAAUCACCUGGGCGUGCCCGCCGGACAACCCAUUUUUUUUUCAAUGGUUGACCUCGGAUCAGGUAGGGAUACCCGCUGAACUUAA